GUUGCACACUCGUGGACCUAUCUGCAAUGCUGGUGUUCUGACAAGAUGCAAAGCAGUAGGUUUGGGGAGCACAGAGCAUCUCUGAAAAGAGGUGCCUGAAGGGCUACAGAAGCACAGCAGAACUAGAACAACUUUCUCUGAACUGGUGGCUCGCCGUUUGCAAGGAUCUGCAAAGUCCAACUUGGAGAAAUCGAGACCCCUGACUAUGCAGGUGCAGCUUGGUGCAGGCAGCAGAUGGGACCCCAGCACUUCUGGGGACGCCGAGUCCAGAGCCUGCAAGGUGUUGUAGCUUCUGGAUGCAGGGACCAGGAUCAGCCCAUGUGAGCACUAAACCCCACAACCUUGUGGUACAGGUCUGCUUGUCCAGGAGCCAUGACUCUCCCUCCUGCUGUGCAGUAGUGCUGCCUGUGCUGUUUAACAAGUCCAACUGCAUGCUCUGAGGGCUAGAAACCAGCCUCGCUUCUUGGUGCAGAUGGCUCCCAGGAUCCUUGCCCAACCCAACUGUUCUUCGGUCAGGGGCAAACACUGGUGCGAGAACAGUGUUGUGUGAACAGUGAGUCAGUUAUUAUAUGUAAGUUCAUGGUGCUGUGGAGAGUAAUUUCAAAAUAUGAAACCAGUGCAGACUCUGGAGAAGGCACACAUCUGUGGUCACAUCCCUCUUAAACCAAAUGACUGUUCAAGUGCAGCAUGCUUGACUGUGGUACCAUAGUGCUGUGAGAAGGGAGAGAGAGAGGGCUUAGGUAUCCCUGAUCAUCUUCAUCACUGCCAAUUCAGCCUCUUCGUCUACACAUAAGGGCCUGCAGGGUCAGGCACCAG